rnacentral:rRNA from 1 species
GCCGAGCGAACAGACGAGGAGCUUGCUCCUCUGACGUUAGCGGCGGACGGGUGAGUAACACGUGGAUAACCUACCUAUAAGACUGGGAUAACUUCGGGAAACCGGAGCUAAUACCGGAUAAUAUAUUGAACCGCAUGGUUCAAUAGUGAAAGACGGUUUUGCUGUCACUUAUAGAUGGAUCCGCGCCGCAUUAGCUAGUUGGUAAGGUAACGGCUUACCAAGGCAACGAUGCGUAGCCGACCUGAGAGGGUGAUCGGCCACACUGGAACUGAGACACGGUCCAGACUCCUACGGGAGGCAGCAGUAGGGAAUCUUCCGCAAUGGGCGAAAGCUUGACGGAGCAACGCCGCGUGAGUGAUGAAGGUCUUCGGAUCGUAAAACUCUGUUAUUAGGGAAGAACAAAUGUGUAAGUAACUAUGCACGUCUUGACGGUACCUAAUCAGAAAGCCACGGCUAACUACGUGCCAGCAGCCGAGGUAAUACGUAGGUGGCAAGCGUUAUCCGGAAUUAUUGGGCGUAAGGCGCGCGUAGGCGGUUUUUUAAGUCUGAUGUGAAAGCCCACGGCUCAACCGUGGAGGGUCAUUGGAAACUGGAAAACUUGAGUGCAGAAGAGGAAAGUGGAAUUCCAUGUGUAGCGGUGAAAUGCGCAGAGAUAUGGAGGAACACCAGUGGCGAAGGCGACUUUCUGGUCUGUAACUGACGCUGAUGUGCGAAAGCGUGGGGA